CCCCCGCAUGGUGGGUCACUGUGGUCCUCGUGCCGCGCGGGCUCUAGGCCCGAGUCCUGACCUCAGAUUCCCCUGGCCUGCUGUAGUGGGAGAAUGAAUCGUUGAUGCUGGUCGAUUCCCUGAGGUCGUGGUUUGAAGGUGGGGUUAAUGAGCAUUGACACGUUAAAGUCGGGGGAAUGAACACUGGUGAGAAAGCUCUUCAAAGGGAAUGCACGAUUUAAUAGGAUUCUGAACCAGGUGGCCCGUGGAUGCAUUUCAGGAAGUAUGCAAACUCCUACACAUUGUUUGCAGUGGCUUUCUUCUUUCCUAUUUGUGUGUGUUUGGCCAAGAGAGUUUAUAGAGUUCAUGGGACUCUCAGAGUUGGAUCCCAGUAAGAGUGAGUGUCAUGGCCUCUUCCGGUCCCUCUGGGAGGGUCCGUGCUGAGUAUGGGCUCAGUGCUUCAGGUGACCAGGCGUUAGCAUGAUCCCAACUGGAAGGAGGCUUUCAGGCCCCCUGACCUGUCAGCCUGGACCUCAAGCCCCUCGCUGCUUUUCCCCGUUUAUCCUUUCUGUUGACUUGGUAUCACAAUAACCCCAACAGCACCCAUUAUGAAGAGACUUGCUUUUAUAAAAUGCAUUCACACACACUUGCUCACCUGAAUAACUGUAGAAUACAGGAAGCAAAUAUAGGGAGUGAGGGAGGGUGUCUGACCCAAGCUAACCCCAAGACCAAUGCAGAAACUUUGCUUUAAGGCAGAGAAAGAAAAUGGAUAAGCAACAGUUUGGAUAAUGCUUUCUGAAAUUGGGGAGAGUCGUCAGGCACUGUGUUAUACACCUCGAAGUAACCACGAUUAAGUAGCUCAUUUUUACAAGGGGCAGGUUAGACCUAGUGCCGUGGACACCUCGUAUGGACUGUCAGCCAGGCUGUAGUCAGGGGCUUGUCUUGCCAAGGCCAAGUGGGAUGAAAGUGUGGGGGCUAGGGUCAAAGUGCGGGUGUCAGAAACGAGGUGUUGGUGGGGAGAGAAAAAUUCUGCAUUUCCUUCCACCAUCACUUCUGUGGGUGAUGAUUUCAAGGUGCUGAGGCUGUUCAUUUAUGAAUCUGCUCAAUAAAUCGAUAAAUGUGAGUUGAGUA